GUUGAAUAUUUUUAACUCCUCAACUUAUGUUAUUUAUAGUGAUUUAACUCCUUGGUUAUCUAGUUUGUGCCCUGAAAAUACAUGAUUCCUUAAAUAAAACUGUUGUGUGUUCCGAUAGUAUUGUUUUAUUUGAUUUUUAUAUAUUUGUUGAACAUUUUUGAUUCAUCAACUUAUAUUUUCUACAGCAAUUUAUCCUUCUCCAUUAUCUAGUUAGUGCCUUGAAACUAUAUAAUUGCUUGCAUAAAAAAAAAUACUAGGUGUUUUUUUCAUCGUAUCGGGAUUUUAUUGUUUCUUUUCUUUCUUUUUUUUUUAGUUAUUUUCUGAAGACUUCACUGCUCAACUCUGCUUCUGGAAGGCUCUCGGAGCGCCACCCACACCAAAAUAUUGUCUGUUUUUUUUUUUUAGCGCUGUUUGAUAAAAGGGUGACUUCAGAUUUUUAUUGCUACAGGAUGUUUAUUCCAUUGUUGACCUACAGAUGCUGGACUGGUAUAGUCACGCCCAUCUACUCGCCCACCACUCACCCGGCGGUCACGCAGGAGGGGAGCGCUGGAAGGCUGGUUAUCCUGAGCAGCUCCUGAGGGGUAGUUGAGGUGUCCACCAGGUGCAACGUGGACGAGGACGCCGCCACUACAGCGAUGUUGUCCUCCAGGAGCGCUACACCAACCACCCACGUGCCCAAGCCUGCCUGCGAACGUGUCACGUGUCACUUUGUCAUCCUCACCUCUACCUCCAGUACCUAGUUUUCUGUUCUAUGUCUUGUUCCUCUC